UCCCAGUACUGAAGGGGUUAAAUUGUAAUAAUAAUAUAAUAAUAAUAAUUUUGUCUGUAUGUCUGUAUGUCUGUCUGUGUGUCUGUCUGUCUGUCAGUAUUACCAUCUUUUCCCACAGAUUUGGUAUUAAUGGCCACGGCUGUGUCAGGAGGGCGUUGUGUGAGAUGGCAACACUGCCGCCCCUCAGACCGCAGGGCAUUGUGGGAGAAAUGCUGGAUAUCUUCAUGAGAGGCGUGGGGAACACAACACUGCUACUUCACAACACCACCACCACCACCAACAACACCACCAACAUUGAAGAAAACGAAGAAACAACAACAACAACAACAACAACAACAACAACAGAGAAAUCGGUGAAGGAGAAGAGGAGGAAGACGAACAAAGAGGGGAAGAAGAGGAUGAAGAGAGAAGAGGAGGAAGGAGGAGGAGGAGGAGGAGGAGGAGGAGAUAGAAAACGGGAUUAACUAUUUCACAGCAGGGACUCUUGGAAAACUAGACAUGGACUGCGCUGUGGCCUUUUCUGAGUGUCCUGUGUCGUUAAUGCAGUACGAGGACCAAAUGUGAGCUAUCUCUAAUCUCUAUCUUUAAUUUUCUCUCUCUUCUCUCUCUCUUGUUUUUUUUUCGCUU